CAGUAGCCGCGGUAAUACGAAGGGUGCAAGCGUUACUCGGAAUUACUGGGCGUAAAGCGUGCGUAGGUGGUUGUUUAAGCCUGCUGUGAAAGCCCUGGGCUCAACCUGGGAAUUGCAGUGGAUACUGGGCGACUAGAGUAAGGUAGAGGAUAGUGGAAUUUCCGGUGUAGCGGUGAAAUGCGUAGAGAUCGGGAGGAACAUCAGUGGCGAAGGCGGCCAUCUGGGACAACACUGACGCUGAGGCACGAAAGCGUGGGGAGCAAACAGGAUUAGAUACCCCUGUAGUCCCUGUCUCUUAUAC
rnacentral:rRNA from 1 species